UACGUAGGGGGCAAGCGUUGUCCGGAUUUAUUGGGCGUAAAGAGCGUGUAGGCGGCCUGAAAGGUUCAGCUGUGAAACUCGAGGGCUCAAACCUCGAGACGUCGGUUGAAACCAUCUGGCUAGAGUCCGGAAGAGGAGAGUGGAAUUCCCGGUGUAGCGGUGAAAUGCGUAGAGAUCGGGAGGAACACCGGGUGGCGAAGGCGGCUGCCUGGACCAGUCCCUGACGCUGAGGCGCGAAAGCUAGGGGAGCAAACAGGAUUGAGAA
rnacentral:rRNA from 1 species